GCAGGUUUGAGGCUAAGGCAGGUUUGAGGCUAAGGCAGGUUUGAGGCUAAGGCAGGUUUGACUGAAUUCAGCCCUUUAAGAGUUUUCUAUGUAUAAAUAUUGUUAAUUUCUACAGGUAUUUGAACUAUGUUUUGGUGAAGAAGACUAUAGUUUACAAUGUCAGAAAUGUUGAAUUCAUUGAGAUGGUCAAGCCCUUAUGAUUAAUCUAGUUAGGAUUAUAUAAUAUAAUUUUCAGAUAAUUUAAGCACAGUGAAUGAUUGCAAUGAAGUUAAUUUGCACAGUGUGUGAAUCACAUUUUCAGCUUGUUUUACUUUCUGGUUUGGACAGCCAAACACAUUUAUUUCACUUUGAUUAUUUAAAAUGUUGAAUAUUUGGUCAAAUGGUGUUUAACAGCAUUUGUUGUUUAUCAUUUUAAUUUGAUAGUAUUUAAUUUGUGUGUGUGUGUGUGUGUGUGUGUGUGUGCCAGAUACAUCAACACUUUCAAAUGCAAAUUUCAGAGUUAUAUGGACCACCAUUUUCAACUUUUCCUUCAGACACUUAUAGUGAUACUAGUGCCACCAGAUUCAAUUUCCUUAUACAAAUUCAAUAUGAUUCAAUUCAGAUUCAAUUUCUGGUGGCAAUAAUAUCACUCCAUAUUAUAGUAAUUUGUCAUCUUUGCUUUUACCCGAACCCCAUCUUUCCAAAAUGGAAAAUAUGCCUGUACAUUUGCCUGUGAUAUGCCUGUACAUCCAUUAACAGCUAGGGUCUUAGGGCUACAACAGUAAAUAGUCAGAGUGAUCUGACAGUCCUGUUAAUGUCUGUGUGUAAAAGCUAUUCAUUAACACUACUUAACGCUGACAGUUAUGUUGAAUGCCUUACGAUGUGGUUUAUAAUGCAUUGUAAAACAUGUUAUAGGCAUGUAUGACCCUCCCUGAUAAAGUCUUACCUCAUAAUGAUCAUCUCAAAUUUCAGUCAGUUGAAAACAUGAUAAAUAGAGAGACGUAUUACAGGCUUUUAAAUCAACACUGAUGCUUUCUUACAACAAGUACUAAAGCGUUAUAGCUGCUUUAAGUGGUACUAGCUAUACCACAUGUUGUGGUGAUUCUCUCAGGGUACGUUUACUGUGUGCACUGGGAGGACCUUGCAAGCUGCUGUCGUAGGGAGUUUUAACCCAUUGAGGUCCAACAGUAGAUAUACUGUAUUUGUGUUUUCCAUUGUCAUCAUUGAAGCCUUCAUUAACAGUUUUAGAACAUAUAUGUAGCCUAGCUGAUUAUGGGAAUAGUCUGUGCCAUUGUGAAUAUGACAUGGAAGAAUUAUUAAAAGUUUUAAAAAAUGA